rnacentral:sRNA from 1 species
UCCCGAAGCCCGAUUAUGGACCUUAAC